CACCUCUGCCAGCCAGGGAUGUAAGACAACGCUUAAGGCUGUCAACAUGAUGGUUAUCUUUGAAAACUGUGAUGCUGGUGCCAGGCCAAGGAAAGGACCAGGAACGAGGUUCUCCACACAUCCUCCAUCCGUGCGUUCCAGGGCUCGUGGGUUUGCUUCAGCCAAAACCUCGAACGAGCCACAUCCUUGUGUUCUUGACUGUGAUGAGAUUGCGAGCUAUGUGUAACUUCUCCGAGGGGUCAAACGUGUUAUGUUUGCUCAACAUUGCCCCAGCCUUCUGACACGUGUGAUUACAGAGCAGGAGUGCAGGUGAAGUCAGGACACGGAAAGCGCUGCAUACACAGGCCCCCUCUCAUGGAGGAGGACUGCUUUCUGAAAGCAGGGGCGGCUAAGCAUGUUUCAUCAUACAUGGGUGCCUCGGAACCCAGUUACUGUAAGC
rnacentral:lncRNA from 1 species